rnacentral:rRNA from 1 species
AGAGUUUGAUCCUGGCUCAGAACGAACGCUGGCGGCAUGCCUAACACAUGCAAGUCGAACGAGACCUUCGGGUCUAGUGGCGCACGGGUGCGUAACGCGUGGGAACCUGCCUUUAGGUUCGGAAUAACUCAGAGAAAUUUGAGCUAAUACCGGAUAAUGUCUUCGGACCAAAGAUUUAUCGCCUUUAGAUGGGCCCGCGUUGGAUUAGCUAGUUGGUGGGGUAAAGGCCUACCAAGGCGACGAUCCAUAGCUGGUCUGAGAGGAUGAUCAGCCACACUGGGACUGAGACACGGCCCAGACUCCUACGGGAGGCAGCAGUGGGGAAUAUUGGACAAUGGGCGAAAGCCUGAUCCAGCAAUGCCGCGUGAGUGAUGAAGGCCUUAGGGUUGUAAAGCUCUUUUACCCGAGAUGAUAAUGACAGUAUCGGGAGAAUAAGCUCGGGCUAACUCCGUGCCAGCAGCCGCGGUAAUACGGAGGGAGCUAGCGUUGUUCGGAAUUACUGGGCGUAAAGCGCACGUAGGCGGCUUUUUAAGUCAGGGGUGAAAUCCCGGGGCUCAACCCCGGAACUGCCCUUGAAACUGGGAAGCUAGAAUCUUGGAGAGGCGAGUGGAAUUCCGAGUGUAGCGGUGAAAUGCGUAGA